CCCCCGCUCUGGUCUGUGCUCCACCUCCCCGGCCGGGCUGCGGGGCCAGGCUCUCCUGCUCCAUCUGGGUCCCCGUCUCUGUCCCUCGUUCUCCUUACUGUCUCUCUCUGCCUCCCUCUUUUUGUGUCCCUGUCCGGACUGGCCUCUCCCCCACCACCCCCCUCCCUCUGUGUGGCUCCUCCCCUCCACCCUCCCCUUCCCUCCAUCUGUCUCUCUCCUCUACCUCUGCUCAUCCCCGUCCUCGCGUUGCUUCUUCCUCUUUGUCCUCGUCUCUUUUAGUCCUGGCGUUGGUCUCUUUCUGGUUUGCAGGAGCCUCACCAGACUGCAGGGUUCUCUUCCAGAGUCUUCCUGCAGGGAUCCCCAUCUCGGUCCCCCCCAUCCCUCACCUCCAAGACCCUCUGAGGAGCUUCCUGUCUCCCCAGGAUCUCUGAUCCCAGGGCAGAUGCACUUUAGGGGACACAAUGCAAAAUUGCAGCCUCUGCUUCCAAACCCUGCAGCACUUGGUGCUUGAGAGUCAGCUCUGGUACCUGGAGGGACCUGCGGCCCAACUGUGAAGGUUGCAGAACUGACUUCAAUGCCUUCUUCUUAUCCUUUGAGGCCUGGUUGCAAUGUCACCACCUCCGGGAAGCCUCCCCUGAGCAAUCUUUCACUCCUUCUCUGACCCCACCGUGCUCUCUCACACAUCUAUUCUGACACGGGACUUCAGCCCUUUCCUCCUCGGCCUGUCAUUCCAGAUGGACGGGGGGCUCUUUGAGGGCACGAUCUGUGUCUCCCUGCCUGGCACAGGCCCGGGCCAGGGGGAUGCUUGGAGUCUGUCAAAUGAGUGACUAGGCGAGCAGAGAAAGAAACGAAGGAUCCAUCUGCCCUCUCAGGCUGGGCUCUGCUCUCCUCAUCCCUCCUUCCCUCCCUUCAAACCCAGGUUGAACAAACCCAGGCUCCGAGUCUGCUCAGAGCACAAAGUCCUUCAAUUUAGAGCCCAAAGCGGGCGGCCAGCUGGCUUUCUUCGGGCGUGUCCCCUGCCACUUUAUGCAGUUCAUCCACUCGCUGCUGAGAUAUUAAUGCACUUUAGGGGUCAGUGGAGCCCGACGACCACACUGUUAAUAGGGCAAAGCAAUUCCAAUUUCAUGCCUACAUGGGCUUCCCUCUAUUAAGGCAAAGAGAGGGAACAAAUCUUUUUUUAUUCCUUCCAGAAAACAGCCAAAGGCAUUGUGUGAGAGAGGCUUAGGUAAGAUUGCUGGAGGGUGGUGGCGGGGGGUCGGGUGAGGGGAGGAGUCAGGAGGUUCCUGUGAGACAGAACAGAGCUUUGGGGAAGAAGGAAGUAGGAUGAAGAGGCUGGUGGCACUAUGUGGUUGUCACCUGCUGAUCUGGCCUGGAUGUUUCUAUACUGAUGAACAUCUAUUGGAGAGCCCCCAAUACACUCGGAAAUCAUCUGCUUCGGUGUUGCUAACAACCUACAAAAUGCAGGCCGGCAAAGGUUUAUUGAGUGAAUGGAUCACGUUAGACGGCAAACAUGGCCCUAUGUCUGCCACCUGCCCUGUGGCCACACACUGUGCAAUGUGACUUUGCAGCUCUUCUCAUCAAAAAGUCCAAUCUAGGGGCGCCUGGGUGGCUCAGUAGGUUAAGUGUCUAACUCUUGACUUCAGCUCAGGUUGUGAUCUCAGGGUCAUGGGGUCGAGCCCCGCAUCAGGCUCCAGGCUCGGUGUGGAAUCUGCUUGAGAUUCUCAACCUCUCCCUCUGUCCCUCCCCCAACCUGUGCAAAACAAACAAACAAACAAAUAAAUAAACAAACAAACAAAUAAAUAAAUAAAAU
rnacentral:lncRNA from 12 species